UACGUAGGGACCAAGCGUUGUUCGGAUUUACUGGGCGUAAAGGGCGCGUAGGCGGCAAUUUAAGUCAGUUGUGAAAUCUCCGAGCUUAACUCGGAACGGUCAACUGAUACUGCUUUGCUAGAGUACAGAAGGGGCAAUCGGAAUUCUUGGUGUAGCGGUGAAAUGCGUAGAUAUCAUUUGGAACGCCAAUGGUGAAAACAGGUAGCUGGGGCUGUGCUGACGCUGAGACACGAAAGCCAGGGGAGCAAACGGG
rnacentral:rRNA from 1 species